rnacentral:pre_miRNA from 1 species
AUCACCUGGGGAGCUUGUUAAAAUGCAGAUUCUGAUUCGGCGGGUCUGGGGCGGGGCCCGAGAGUCUGCAUUUCUAACGAGCGCUCAGGUGGUGAGGG